AGUGAACGCUGGCGGUAGGCCUAACACAUGCAAGUCGAACGGCAGCACAGUAAGAGCUUGCUCUUACGGGUGGCGAGUGGCGGACGGGUGAGGAAUACAUCGGAAUCUACUUUUUCGUGGGGGAUAACGUAGGGAAACUUACGCUAAUACCGCAUACGACCUACGGGUGAAAGCAGGGGAUCUUCGGACCUUGCGCGAUUGAAUGAGCCGAUGUCGGAUUAGCUAGUUGGCGGGGUAAAGGCCCACCAAGGCGACGAUCCGUAGCUGGUCUGAGAGGCUGAUCAGCCACACUGGAACUGAGACACGGUCCAGACUCCUACGGGAGGCAGCAGUGGGGAAUAUUGGACAAUGGGCGCAAGCCUGAUCCAGCCAUACCGCGUGAGUGAAGAAGGCCUUCGGGUUGUAAAGCCCUUUUGUUGGGAAAGAAAAGCAGCAGGUUAAUACCCCGCUGUUCUGACGGUACCCAGAGAAUAAGCACCGGCUAACUUCGUG
rnacentral:rRNA from 1 species